AAAUAAAAAAUGAAAGCGUUUAAAACUAAUAAUCAUAACAAUGUUUCACUUCAAUCCCAAGUAAUCAAAAGUUUCGAUCCCAAUGAUAAAAUACACUAGGAUGCAAAAUAGGGAAGUGGAACCAUCUCGGCAGGGCUCCUAUUUUGGGCAUUUUUCUGCUAUAACUCAACCAAUUUUGAACCAAUUGACACAAUUUUUGGAACACGGUGAGAUAAUCUAGCCGUGUACGAUAUUUCAAGUCAAUCGGAUGGGAAUUGAUUGAGUAGCAAAAAGUGCCCACAAUACCGGCCACUGCCCAAGUGAUUCGCUACCCUAAUGCAUACGUUUAACUUCUAAGGAUUAUCCAAAGGAUUCUUCAAGCUACUUGAGAAGCUUACACUGAAACAUGUCGACACUAAUUACAGAUUUUCCAGCAAAACUCAUUGUUAGCCUUUCGAGAAGCUUAGAAGUUGCUUAAGAUGCUCCUUGGAACAGGCUUGACGAGGCCUCGUGCCAAAAGCCGCAACGUGCACGAAAAAAGACGGAAGGUUUCUGUCCAAAAACGUGAGGUUUUGGGAAGGUGGAACAUGGAAGCAGCAGUUCAACGAGCACCUAAAUGGUGAGGAGAUGGUAGGACAUGAUCACAGAUCUGUAAGUGUUGGUGAUUUUGUGUCGUGAGUGUUACCGAGAAUUUCAUGAUUUGCGUUGCGUGAAAAGUUAGAAUGUUAAAUGGCAAGUAAUACUCGUGUUUAGUGUAGUUUCCAACCAGCUUAUAGCUCCCGAUAGGCUAGAUACGACCUGAAACGAGACCGGACAAUACGUAGCUCGAUAUGGGGCCAAAACGGACCAGCUGCUGAUUGGUUGAUUUUAUGCUAUUAGAAAAAAGCAAAAACCAUCCGACCGUUCCCGACCGCGUGUGGGCAGUGUUGUCAAAAGCGAUUGAAAUAUGAUCUGCAUACAUUUUCAUUAUGCUAUAAGUGCAUUAUAAUAUACGACAACGUCAGGCUCCACCACCCUAAACAGCAACCAUCAAUACUACACACUGUAGUUGAAAACCCCACCACCAGAGGGACUGGUUACCACUCAUUGAGCGGCCAUGAGGGGUGGCGUAACGGAGCCAUUGAGAAAUGGGAUGGCUGGAGAGGGCAAUGACCGAGGAACGAGGUCAUGAACCUCAAGGCAGUCAACGACUCGGUAUGCUAUCACUUGCCCAGAGUUCGUCGACUAAGACAGUUUGAAGGCUUAAAUUUAAAACAGAAGAAUUCGAAAUAAAAUUUUGGAAAGUUCUAUGCAGAGUUAUUGGAGAAAGUUGAAAAGUGGAAGAAGUGUCAGAGAAGUGGACUACAGAACCCCGCCGUUUUUAACUUGGAAGUGCCCGACCGAUUUCCCUACGUCGUCUCCGUGACCAUCUGGGCGAAUUCCGACACAGAACUUGCCGAAGGCCGAUCCGCCACCAUAUCAGCAGGACCGAGACGCGUAGGAGGUUCAGGAAACCGUGUAGUGACACCCCAAACCACCCAAACCCGAAGGACGUUGCCGUCGCUCAUAGCGGUGUAAAUAACCGUGCGCCGCCAUCGCGUACGCCAGGUGUACGAAGGCCUGCGCGCCGCCAUCACGCACAGUAUCCAGGACGCUGCGGAGGACAGGUGUGGUGGAGUGUUUCUGACAAAGAACCUCCAACGUGAAAGGUCAGAUUAGUUGAAAGAAAGUGGGAGAUAGAGGGAGAGAACAGUAGUGCCAGGAUCCUGGAAAUAUAGAAGGUAAAACCCGAAUAAAGUGUAGUUGUCCGUGAAGUGCUGUUGUGGUUAUCUAUUUCUAAGUGCGAGAGUUCCCUGCCGCGAGUUCCGUGACGUGAGCGUGCCGACCCUGAAGCUAUUGAGUCGGGGAGUCUCAGUACUGCUCCCGACCGACUUUCCCGAUAAUUACAGAUCUCUGUGACAUGAUGAUCAAAGCAGUGAAUGAAAUGACUGCGUUGGUACAGAAGCGUACAGGAACGAACCACCUUCAACGCAUUCGGCUCAAAAACAGCAAAGUUGCUGGUAAGGCUCGUAUUGCAUCAGAACUCAUCAAAAUGGGUCUGGAGAAGAUGGCCAUCUGUCUGCACCGGCUGGAAUUCAAAAUCUGUAAAACUGAAAAGCUAGUGGAGGAGUGGAAGGAACACACCAAAUGCUUCCAGCUAAAAAAAGAUCAGCAAUAGAAAUUGCUAAAUUAUAUGUCAACAUUAUUGGAUGGUUAAGCAUACAAAAAAAUGCUGAUACUUAGCAAUUUUGCAUUGCUGAACGCGACUAACACAAAACAAAAAAAAAUGCAGUGAAGAGUUAAUCUGACCGCAAUCCAGAAAAAUGGUGGCAAGUUAUGUGUGAGAAUUUUCGAAUGAUCACCAUUCUGAAUGCCGCCUACAAAGUGGUAUCGUAGAUUAUCUUCCGUUGUCUAUUACCUACAGCAAAUGAGUUCUUGGGUAGUUAUCAAGCCAGUUUCAUCGACUGCCGGUGGAGCAAGGACCAAAUCUUCGCCGCAUGGCAAACCCUCUAUAAAUGCAUUGGAUACCAGGUUCGAACGCAUCACCUGGUCAUCGACAUUUAUUUACACUGUUACCUCAAAGAUUUACCCUAAGUAAAUUACUGUUAAGAACAAAGUAACUCAGCAAUUCACUAACUAACCAAUCAGAAUUCAUUUAGCUCAGGUCUUGAAAUAAAAAAAAAAUAUUAUAACGAACUGUUUGGCAAAAUCACUUAUUCGUGAUAAAUAAUUAUUCUGUUAAUUAUUACAAUGAAAAAUAAGCAUUUGCAACUGGUACGAAAUUCCUCAAACGAACCGGUUGAGUUUAGUCGUAUGGUCAAUUCCCUCGAACAGGAAGGUUCGGGUAGUACAUAUUGGGUUAAGGUCGUCUUCUACAACGAAAGUAAAAGCCAGGACUACUCUCUUCUCGACCCACUGAGCAACAUUCCUAUGGUCGCCGGCUGUUCGAGUCCAUAUGAAGUAAACCAUCAAUGUUAACUUCUUUUCCCGAUCAGCCUAGAUAGCUGUGUAGUGUCGGUAGCGGUUGUCUCAAUUGGCUAAGAAUAACACUACGGACCACCUGUUCCGGGGGUAAAAGUCCACUCAACAGGGAACCCCAAUCCAAGGUGUCAGGCGACCCGUGCUUAUGGAUGAAUGGUAGAGAGGGUUUAAAAUAUGCUCGAUCUUUAACGGAGCCCGUAACGUAGGAUGAUCGCAUUUCUGUGUUGCGUUACGGUUCAAGAUCUACCAAACCGAACCCUAGUGACAUCCGGUUUGUCAAGUUGGGGUAAUGUGUUUUGGUGAUAAGGAUUCAUGGUACAAAGUCCUUGUUACUGGUGACAGUUUCUAAAAUUGCAUUUAUUCUGCCUUGCUGAUAGUUAAAGAAUCGGACUUUGCCAACCCGAGACUACACUUGAUGUUAGGAAAACAAACAUGCUUUACGUAUCUAAUUGCGUACUAACCUACACUCAAAUUAAUUUACUGAUAGAAUCUAAGUGCAAAAAGCACAUAGAUCGCGAACGGAAGGGAAAAAAUCAUUCUAAGUGCAACAAAUAAAAAUGAAAAGUUACUUCAUUAAAAUUUAAUUUAUCUGUAUUAAAUUUAGAGUGUAGCAAUAUAAAAAGCAACCCUGUCAACAUAAAAUCCAAACACGAUCAUAACAAACGUGAAAAGGACAUGGCGCGUGCACGAGACGCACAGUUCGUCGCGGAAUAUUGCAGAAUUUCAUUUUUAAUCAUGGUGCUCCAAGAAAUUAAUUUGCUGACCAAGUUGCUGAAGAUGCAUCUGCGUCUCGACCGCUUCAGCACCGUCACCAAAGAUGAACGAUUUUGCUGGGAGCUGCCGGAUGGAGCUGCGACCGGGACGAGCUGUUUGACCAGCUUGGUGGAAGCUCAAUGUGAGGGAUUCGAUUUGACCACUUUCACCAAAGUGGAAGACGACGCGGAGGCAUCGGAAAAGAGAUCGAGCACACCAAUAGAACCGACCCUGAUGCACUCGAUGCGUGCCUUCUAUCAAACCCGGAAUUGAGCGAUUCAACUAAAAACAAUCUUUUUGGCCCGUCGUAAAUGCAACUGUGACAACUGCAUGGACCGCGGCAUCAGCGGAGCUCCUUCCAUCAUCUUCGUCGGCCGUGGCAUCGGAAAACCCAGACCAUCAUUUGCGUUAGCUAGUGGCAUUUGCGGUGUGAAAUGUCCAGCUGUGAACAUUGCUCAUGCAGCAACAUUGUUUUGUCCACGUGGCCUGGAACUACUCCUGUGUACAAUAAAACAAUUGAUAAAACUUAUUUUUUUCAAUCAUAUUAUUAAAAAUUUUAAUUUAUUGUUACUUUAAAGCCAAUUUCCAAUGAAAAUAAUCUUAUUAUUCCCAUUAAUAGGAACUUUAUUAUUAGGAACAUUCGAGGGCCCAUAUAGCCGAGGCGGUAAACGCACGGGUAUCCAGCAUGACCAUGCUGAGGGUGACGGGUUCGAUUCCCGGUCGGUCCAGGAUCUUUUCGUAAAGGAAAUUUCCUUGACUUCCUUGGGCAUAGAGUAUCUUCGUGCCUGCCACACGAUAUACACAUGCAAAAUGGUCAUUGGCAGAGGAAGCUCUCAGUUAAUAACUGUGGAAGUGCUCAUAGAACACUAAGCUGAGAAGCAGGCUUUGUCCCAGUGAGGACGUUACGCCAAGAAGAGGAGAGGAAUAGGAACUAUGUGCCUCACAACUGAAAUCCGAUCAACUGACUUUUAAAAAGUAAAAGGUUCGCACAUAAAAUUCAUCUUGACUGAGUUGGCAAAGUUUCGAUAAGCCUGCACUUAUUUUUUAAGUGCAAAAGCAAUUGGUCACAAUCCAAGUGCAAGAAACUUAUAUUCAAUGUGUUAAUUAAUCUGAGUGAUAUCAAGGACUGUAAAGUUCUGGUAAUUCAAGGACUCACGUGCAUUCUUAUUGCAGAACACAUUCUCUAAUUUGACAGAGUUUUGCAACUAGCCUAAAGUCCCGGAUUUUUCUUUGUUGUCAUGGGCUGGGACUAAACUAGAAGCAAGACAUGGAUGGGGCUAGAGUUCCGAUGCAUGGAUAAAUAUCAGUACCACCGUUUUGUUUUUCUCAGAAUUCAAAUGGAUUGUGUUUGAUUAGGGGCGCUCUUUCACUGGGAUUAAAAUCUCUAUGAUAACGAGACCUUUUCAUCGCAAUCGAUUUCUUGCACCUCUGGGAUAAUAAAACAGGAACUGUACAGAAAUCGAUGCUCCAUUGCCUCUCAAUGACAAUGGAGUAGUACGACAUGCACUAAAUACUAAGGAUACGGGUAAUGCCACAAAAGAUCUAAAUACUGGUCGCAGUGGCUCACCCGAACAGAAAAAAAAGGUCGCCAAACCCUUCGUCUCUCCGGAACCACCACGAAGGCAUUGCUUCAGAGAAGAGCUAGUGCACAUCGCACCCUCAAGGUUAUCUGCGUAGCCUGCAGCAACGAACAUCGAUGACUCACUCCGGAGAGUCCAUCACGCUAGCAUGCUGGGCUGGGGCUUAGCCAGUUUCCCGAGUGGUCCUCAAAGGGAGUCCUCGGAAGGCGGACAGUGUCAACCCCGGCCGCGCCCAACUUUUUGCAGACAUCAAGAACUGAUGCCUAGUCAACCAGAUCUGACCUUCCCGCAAGGCAAGGGUAUCACUACCCUCCGGGGCCUAUCAGCUGCACCAGAAGGUUGCUGAGGUUACCGAGGACCCCUUUCCAAUCGCGAGCUCGGAUCAAACCCAGUAGACCGACGCCACGACAGCAACGCCACCAGGACUUCCUCUCCGUGGCCAUUCGCUGUAAGGUCGAUUUCAACCGCAGGGCACCGGUAUGACCUACGAAGCCGACUCCAAACCCCUGGACCACCUCUUGUACCAUUCUUCGAGUCGACGCGCCACCUCCUCUGAGCCUUCAGACGAUAUGGGUGAUAGCCGUUGAAACGGCGUUCCAGCAAAACUUAUCCCUACACAUCCGCUUGAAAGAUUGUCCGGAGUUGUGUCCUCUACGCAUGUGGCAAGCAUGCGGUGGGUCACGCAUUGUGCGAAAACGCGGGCACACGAACAAAACGUGUUCCGCCGUUUCCUUUAAACACCAGCACAAACAGAGCCCGAAACGGUGUACAUAGAUACUACCAUGACCUGAAAGGACCUGUGUCAGGUGGAAUGUUAUUUCCCCAUAGCGCCUAUCAAUCCAACUAUCUACCCUCUGUAUCAACUUAUGGGUCCUCCUUCCUUCGCGUGAGAUGGUACGGUACGCGCUUGCAACCCUCUGGCACAUCAGCCUGUAAGUACUUUCCAGCUUACCACGGUAGCUUUCGGUACUUAGCGCAGUGCCCCACGCCUGGCCGCCAUACCUUAGUAUGGACGUAGCGACACUAACCAGAAGCUUGCGCUUAUUGGCGUACAUCGUAGAGCUAUUCUACAUCAUCCGGGACAGUGCCGCAAUAGCUGUGGAGGCUCAGUGAGACGAAACUCUUGAUGUUACUUGUUCAGAAGUGAACCGGCUCACACAACCACAUAUUUUAUUCAUAUGUUUUAAUCUACAGUACAGCCAUUCCAUAGAAAAACGAUAUAGUGCAACUCUGAUUGUCGGCAAACUAAGUGCGUUUGUAGUUUAUCGAAAAUAAUUAGACCCGUAUUUCUUAUUUCGUCAUUAGGGUGACCAAUUUUGCGAUAGAGUGGUAAAAAAAUCAAGAUUUUUCAAUACUAUUUUUUUUUAAUCAUAACAAUACCGCUAGCCAUCAUAAUUUCAUAAGGUUUAGAAUGAAUUUCAUAAUGAUUAGAAUAAAUUUUAUAACGUCGCUCUAUGACGCAAAAUCUCCCAGAGUUUGGCUUUUAUAUAUGUUUAGCAACAAGGUAUUCUGUUCAGGCCGUGGGGAUUACAGAAGCUUAGUGAUCCCGACGUCUAUGGAUCGAAUCCAGUCUGCAUCAUUUUAAAAAUAAAUUACUUAGUAUAAAUUAGUGUCUUUUAUGAAAUUUGUCAACUCAUUUGAGUUGCAUUAUGAACAUUAUGCAACCCAAAUGGGUUGCAUUAUGAAAAAAAUCAUUGCAUAAAAUUUUGUAUGGAACUCGUUGCAAAACUCGAUUUUUUCAGCACUCUUCGUAUUUAUCCAACUCGGCAAGCCUCGUUUGAUAAAUUUACGACUCGUGCUGAAAAAAUCAACUUUUUGCAACUCGUUACAUAAAUAACUAUUACAGGGUCAAAAGUAAACCGGUGAAAUGAGCAUUUCUAUUGUACAAUUCACCGCCAACUCAAAAAAUCUGUUGGUUCCUUUUUGGGUGUUGGAGGGUUAAUGUCCAAAAAACCCUGUUGCCCAUCUUUCCCCAUGGUACCCAACCACGUUUUUAAACCCGUUAGCUAUUUAUUUCCUUGGCUAUUUCUAUGCGAAAAGUUACACGCAAAGAAUUCCAAUGAUUUUCUUUAUAUGUUACGACACAUACUCUUGUGGAAUAGUUCAUUCAGUACACUAUUCUGCCGUAAUUCUGCAAAGUGACGUAAGUGCCAUUCAAAAUGUCGAUAUUUUUUGGUAUAUUAUAUAUAUAAUAUCUGGUGUAAAAAUAACACUGUGGUAUGCCUGGUGUAUUAGAAUGCAAGAUCUAGUCGUAAUCUAUCAUCUAUGGAAAGAAACUUAGAGGAUGAGCAAGAGUUUUAUCGAAGACGACUAAUAACAAGACAGACAGCUACCUUCUUGCUCCAUAUACUUUGGGAGCUACAAGCACACUAGCGCCGCGAACGACUUCAGGGAACAACAUCAUAAAUGAAUGUGCGUGCGAUGCUACAAUUUCCGUGUACGUAUUAGCAUGCACACGCACACAAUCAUGUUUUAAUGUUCCUGUGAAUCGUUGAGGGCGUUUCAACCAUGUCGCCUGCGACAGGGUGGGAGCUGUCUGUCUUGUUAUUAGCCGUCUUCGGUUUUAUGCAUAAUAACCAAAAAAUGGGCCAAAACUAUCAAUGUCGCUUACGUCACUUUGCACAAUGGGGCACGUUCGAUGUAGUACUAGAUUUGUAGUAAUGAGCUGAAUUUUAGUAUGGUGAGAAGCUCAUUUCUCCGUUUCUGCAAUGAAACGGUGCAAAAAGCGUGGGUAUUAUGAUUCCUUGUCUAAUUUGAUGCUGUUUGAGCAAAAUUUUGGAUAACUAUGUUGUUUAUGUUGCAAGAAAUGGAGAAAACAAAAACACUGUUGC